UACGAAGGGGGCUAGCGUUAAUCGGAAUUACUGGGCGUAAAGCGCGCGUAGGUGGUUUGUUAAGUUGGAUGUGAAAUCCCCGGGCUCAACCUGGGAACUGCAUCCAAAACUGGCAAGCUAGAGUAUGGUAGAGGGUGGUGGAAUUUCCUGUGUAGCGGUGAAAUGCGUAGAUAUAGGAAGGAACACCAGUGGCGAAGGCGACCACCUGGACUGAUACUGACACUGAGGUGCGAAAGCGUGGGGAGCGAACAGG
rnacentral:rRNA from 1 species